UACGUAGGGUGCAAGCGUUGUCCGGAAUUAUUGGGCGUAAAGAGCUCGUAGGCGGUUUGUCGCGUCUGCUGUGAAAAACCCGAGGCUCAACCUCGGGCCUGCAGUGGGUACGGGGCAGGCUAGAGUGCGGGUAGGGGGAGACUGGAAUUCCUGGUGUAGCGGUGAAAUGCGCAGAUAUCAGGAGGAACACCGGUGGCGAAGGCGGGUCUCUGGGCCGAUACUGACGCUGAGGAGCGAAAGCGUGGGGGAGCGAACAGG
rnacentral:rRNA from 1 species